rnacentral:hammerhead_ribozyme from 1 species
AUCCAGCUGACGAAUCACAAAUAGGACGAAACACCGCAUCUUGGAU